GGCACACACACACACACACACAGAAAAGGUGCCGUACCGGACCUUAGAGUGGCCGGGCUAAGCACGCUAAGAAUAGUCAGGAGACAAGCCAAGUAAAGGGAGCCAGAAAACGGGAGAACGAGAAACAAGCCGAGGUCAAAGGAGUGGAGAAGACAGGAUAAUCGGAAUAACGAGCCAAAUAAUCAGUAACCAGAGAGCAAGACGAGAACACUACGCUACAGGUAUCACAAGACCACAACAGGGCACUGAGGGACAGGAAAGGUAAGUAUAAAUACCCUUGGUUUAAUUCUGAUUGGAUAACUUCCAAUCAGAAUUAACAAUCACACGUGGGGGAUAUCUAUACCUCCCACUGUGAUUGUGGUACUGUUCCUUUAAUGCCGGGUCACUC